rnacentral:sRNA from 1 species
UAGAAGACAGGCCGGUCGGGAAAGCCCGC